rnacentral:tRNA from 1 species
GGAGAGAUGGCCGAGUGGUUGAAGGCGCACGCCUGGAAAGUGUGUAUACUGUCACAAACGGUAUCGAGGGUUCGAAUCCCUCUUUCUCCG